rnacentral:snoRNA from 1 species
AUGAGGUGUGACUCCAAUUCUGAGCCUCAAGGGCCGUGGGGAGAUCCACCCCUAUCUGA